UACGUAGGGCGCAAGCGUUGUCCGGAAUUAUUGGGCGUAAAGAGCUCGUAGGCGGUCUGUCGCGUCGGUCGUGAAAACUUGGGGCUUAACCCUGAGCUUGCGGUCGAUACGGGCAUGACUGGAGUUCGGUAGGGGAGACUGGAAUUCCUGGUGUAGCGGUGAAAUGCGCAGAUAUCAGGAGGAACACCGGUGGCGAAGGCGGCUCUCUGGGACGGUACUGACGCUGAGACGCGAAAGCGUGGGAGCAAACAGG
rnacentral:rRNA from 1 species